rnacentral:rRNA from 1 species
UACGAGGGGGGCAAGCGUUGUUCGGAAUUAUUGGGCGUAAAGGGUGCGUAGGCGGUUUGGUAAGUCUUGUGUGAAAUCUCUGGGCUCAACUCAGAGACUGCACGAGAAACUGCCGGGCUUGAGUAUGGGAGAGGUGAGUGGAAUUCCUGGUGUAGCGGUGAAAUGCGUAGAUAUCAGGAGGAACACCUGUGGCGAAAGCGGCUCACUGGACCAUAACUGACGCUGAUGCACGAAAGCUAGGGGAGCAAACAGG